rfam:Oryza sativa Japonica Group DNA, chromosome 1, cultivar: Nipponbare, complete sequence.
AAAGACCCAAUUUCUGGGUUUUCGUGUGCAACGUUUGACCGUCCGUCUUAUAGAAAUUGUUUUAUGAUUAAUAUUUGCAUUAUUGUUAGAUGAUAAAACAUGAAUAAUACUUUAUGCAUGACUUAUCUUUUUAAAUUUUUUCAUAAUUUUUUAAAUAAGACGGACGGUCAAAUGUUAGACACGAAAAUACAGAAAUUAAG